UACGGAGGAUGCGAGCGUUAUCCGGAUUUAUUGGGUUUAAAGGGUGCGUAGGCGGGCUGUUAAGUCAGCGGUAAAAGCCCGGGGCUCAACCCCGGCGAGCCGUUGAAACUGGCUGUCUUGAGAUGUCGAGAGGUAUGCGGAAUGCGCAGUGUAGCGGUGAAAUGCAUAGAUAUCACGCAGAACUCCGAUUGCGAAGGCAGCAUACCGGCGCCCUACUGACGCUGAGGCACGAAAGCGUGGGUAUCGAACAGG
rnacentral:rRNA from 1 species